rnacentral:rRNA from 1 species
CAAUAGCGUAUAUUAAAGUUGUUGCAGUUAAAAAGCUCGUAGUUGAAUUUCUGGCGGGCGCGCCGGUCUUCCAAGUGUUGUACUGGGCGCAGUCCGCCAUCCUUGUGGAGAGGGCUCGCAUUGAGUUGCGUGUCGGAUCUGCAUCAUUUACUGUGAAAAAAUUAGAGUGUUUAAAGCAGGCUGUCGCUUGAAUACAUUAGCAUGGAAUAAUAAGAUAGGACUUCGGUCUAUUUUGUUGGUUGCGAACCGAGGUAAUGAUUAAUAGGGAUAGUUGGGGGUAUUCAUAUUUAAUUGUCAGAAGUGAAAUUCUUGGAUUUAUGAAAGAUGAACAACUGCGAAAGCAUUUACCAAGGAUGUUUUCAUUAA